rnacentral:rRNA from 1 species
CUACGGAGGGUGCGAGCGUUAAUCGGAAUUACUGGGCGUAAAGCGCGCGUAGGCGGUUUGUUAAGUCGGAUGUGAAAUCCCCGGGCUCAACCUGGGACCUGCAUCCGAUACUGGCAGGCUAGAGUCUGGUAGAGGGGGGUAGAAUUCCUGGUGUAGCGGUGAAAUGCGUAGAUAGCAGGAGGAAUACCAGUGGCGAAGGCGGCCACCUGGACUGAGACUGACGCUGAGGUGCGAAAGCGUGGGGAGCAAACAGGAUUAGAAACCCUAGUAGUCC